GACCUGGUGGUGAAUGGUUCGCACCCACUUUUCGUCAAAACAGAACCGCAGUCAUCACUUGGUGGGAGUUCUCGGUUCGAAUCCGGGCCAGGUCA